UUUAAUAUAAAAAAUUAAAAAAAAAAUGUGGGGAACUCAGCAUGGUUGGUGAAAAGUCAUUAUCUUUGUAUGUAUAUUGUAUAUUAUACGAUCUUUUGGGUUGUUUCUCCCAUAGACGAUCACAAUCAUCUUCCUCCAAUCGUUUCCAGCAAAAAAAAGAAUGGCCGAGUCUGCAAGCAGAAACUUUUCAAAAAAGCUCAUCGAAAUUGAUAUAAGCUCGGAUACGGUGUGUCCCUGGUGCUUUGUGGGGAAGAAGAAUCUUGACAAAGCCAUUGAUGCAUCUAAAGAUCAAUACAACUUUGAGAUUCGAUGGCAUCCUUUUUUCCUCGAUGCAUCUGCACCCAAAGAAGGUGUGAACAAGAAAGAAUUUUAUAGACAAAAGUUUGGAAGCAGAGUUGAAGCAAUGUUCAGAAGAAUGUCUGAGAUCUUCAAAGGUAUUGGGUUAGAGUAUGACACAUCCGGUCUCACAGGCAACACACUGGAUAGUCAUAGACUCAUACAUUAUACGGGGAAACAAGCGCCAGAAAAACAACAUAGCCUUGUUGAAGAGUUGUGUCUUGGUUACUUCACGCAGGGAAAGUACAUAGGGGACAGGGAGUUUCUGGCUGAGACGGCUAAAAAGCUUGGCAUAGACGGAGCAGAAGUAUUCCUCUCAGAUCCCAGCAAUGGAACCACAGAGGUAAAAGAAGAGCUGGAGAAGUAUUCGCAGAAUAUCACUGGGGUUCCACAUUACACAAAUUGUUUGUUCAGAUCAACGGGAAGGUGAAACUGAGCGGUGCACAGCCGCCUGAGACAUUCCAGAGUGCGUUUGAAGCAGCUUCUUCUUAAAACCUAAAAACAGUUAACUUAAGUGGAGAUUAUGUAUGCUCUGUCUGUAGUUUGAGCUUCUGUGUUCCAACUUUUGAAGAGCUUAAUGUAAUAAUGAAUACAUGUUUGGUCUUUGAUGGUUUUGUCUAAACAACAUUUAAAGUUACUUUUAAAUAACAUUCUACUUCUUCUUGCUCUGA